GACGAACGCUGGCGGCGUGCUUAACACAUGCAAGUCGAACGAAGGGGCGAACGGGUGAGUAAUACGGGGGUAACCUGCCCUCCUUUGUGGGAUAAGACUUGGAAACGGGGUCUAAUACCGAAUAAAGGGGGAUGGGCCCGCGGCCUAUCAGCUUGGUGGUGGGGUGAUGGCCUACCAAGGCGGUGACGUGUAGCCGGCCUGAGAGGGUGACCGGCCACAUUGGGACUGGGCUACGGCCCAGACUCCUACGGGAGGCAGCAGUGGGGAAUAUUGCACAAUGGGCGCAAGCCUGAUGCAGCCAUGCCGCGUGUAUGAAGAAGGCUUUCGGGUUGUAAAGUACUUUCAGCGGGGAGGCGUUACCCGCAGAAGAAGCACCGGCUAACUCCGUGCCAGCAGCCGCGGUAAUUC
rnacentral:rRNA from 1 species